rnacentral:rRNA from 1 species
GGCAUGCCUUACACAUGCAAGUCGAGCGGCAGCACGGGAGCAAUCCUGGUGGCGAGUGGCGAACGGGUGAGUAAUACAUCGGAACGUGCCCAAUCGUGGGGGAUAACGUAGCGAAAGCUACGCUAAUACCGCAUACGAUCUACGGAUGAAAGCGGGGGAUCGCAAGACCUCGCGCGAAUGGAGCGGCCGAUGGCAGAUUAGGUAGUUGGUGGGGUAAAGGCUCACCAAGCCGACGAUCUGUAGCUGGUCUGAGAGGACGACCAGCCACACUGGGACUGAGACACGGCCCAGACUCCUACGGGAGGCAGCAGUGGGGAAUUUUGGACAAUGGGCGCAAGCCUGAUCCAGCAAUGCCGCGUGCAGGAUGAAGGCCUUCGGGUUGUAAACUGCUUUUGUACGGAACGAAACGGUGAGCUCUAAUACAGUUUGCUAAUGACGGUACCGUAAGAAUAAGCACCGGCUAACUACGUGCCAGCAGCCGCGGUAAUACGUAGGGUGCAAGCGUUAAUCGGAAUUACUGGGCGUAAAGCGUGCGCAGGCGGUUAUGUAAGACAGAUGUGAAAUCCCCGGGCUUAACCUGGGAACUGCAUUUGUGACUGCAUAGCUAGAGUACGG